rnacentral:tRNA from 1 species
GGCCAGUUAGCUCAGUGGGUUGAGCACGGUGCUGAUAACACCAAGAUCGUGGGUUCGAUUCCUGUUUGGUCU